UACGGAGGGGGCUAGCGUUGUUCGGAAUUACUGGGCGUAAAGCGCACGUAGGCGGCUUUGUAAGUUAAAGGUGAAAGCCCGGAGCUCAACUCCGGAAUUGCCUUUAAGACUGCAUCGCUUGAAUCAUGGAGAGGUGAGUGGAAUUCCGAGUGUAGAGGUGAAAUUCGUAGAUAUUCGGAAGAACACCAGUGGCGAAAGGCGACUCACUGGACAUGUAUUGACGCUGAGGUGCGAAAGCGUGGGGAGCAAACAGGG
rnacentral:rRNA from 1 species